AGUGAACGCUGGCGGUAGGCCUAACACAUGCAAGUCGAACGGCAGCACAGUAGGAGCUUGCUCUUACGGGUGGCGAGUGGCGGACGGGUGAGGAAUACAUCGGAAUCUACUUUUUCGUGGGGGAUAACGUAGGGAAACUUACGCUAAUACCGCAUACGACCUACGGGUGAAAGCAGGGGAUCUUCGGACCUUGCGCGAUUGAAUGAGCCGAUGUCGGAUUAGCUAGUUGGCGGGGUAAAGGCCCACCAAGGCGACGAUCCGUAGCUGGUCUGAGAGGAUGAUCAGCCACACUGGAACUGAGACACGGUCCAGACUCCUACGGGAGGCAGCAGUGGGGAAUAUUGGUCAAUGGGCGCAAGCCUGAUCCAGCCAUACCGCGUGGGUGAAGAAGGCCUUCGGGUUGUAAAGCCCUUUUGUUGGGAAAGAAAAGCAGCAGGUUAAUACCCCGCUGUUCUGACGGUACCCAAAGAAUAAGCACCGGCUAACUUCGUG
rnacentral:rRNA from 1 species